rnacentral:lncRNA from 1 species
CCAGAACUGUGUAGGUGAGAGGAUGCAUGCAUGUUACCGGGGUUGCUGAGCAGAGCUGAGCACUGACCUGAACUCUUGUAAGACCAGCAGUCCUACAACAGCAACCACUCAUUGUCAGAGGACACAGUGGUCUAAGCACCUAACAGCAAUACUUCACGAAGACAAAAGUGGGUGAAACUCUUAAGUCCUUAACUGACUGAAAACUUUUUUGCAUUUCAGUUGGGGAACUUUCUAUUGACCGAUGUUCAAGCUCACUGAUUCUCUCUUUGGCUGUGUUCAGUCUUUGGAUGAGCCCAUCAAAGGCAUUCUUCAUUUCUGUCACAGUGUCUUUGUUAACUUCUAGCAUUUC